rnacentral:rRNA from 1 species
CACGUAGGGCGCAAGCGUUGUCCGGAAUCAUUGGGCGUAAAGAGCGUGUAGGCGGCUUGGUAAGUCCGCUGUGAAAGUCCAGGGCUCAACCCUGGAAAGCCGGUGGAAACUGUCAAGCUUGAGUCCGGAAGAGGCGAGUGGAAUUCCUGGUGUAGCGGUGAAAUGCGCAGAUAUCAGGAGGAACACCAAUGGCGAAGGCAGCUCGCUGGGACGGUACUGACGCUGAGACGCGAAAGCGUGGGGAGCAAACAGG